UCAGGACUCUGCCAAGGAAACUUGAUGGUUAUCUAGUAUGCAGCCAGUUUUGUCUAACUGUCUAGGUUCGCCCCUCUAAAGAUCACCCCUGAAAGUUGUAAAGUUAGGAAGUUUUUAAAAGGCCUUUAUGCCGACAUCUAUGGUCGGGUUGCGAUACUAAGACCCAUCUUGUAUGUGUAGGUGCUAGAGCAUGCCAAGUUGGUCAAAGACCUCAUCUCGACCAAGCACUAACGCAUUGUCCAAGUCCAUACCCAAUAACAACCCCAACAGUCUAGAAGAAAA
rnacentral:lncRNA from 1 species